rnacentral:rRNA from 1 species
UACAGAGGUGGCAAGCGUUGUUCGGAAUUACUGGGCGUAAAGAGCGCGCAGGCGGUCGUUCAAGUCGCGUGUGAAAGCCCCCGGCUCAACUGGGGAGGGUCACGCGAUACUGGUCGACUCGAAGGCAGGAGAGGGUAGUGGAAUUCCCGGUGUAGUGGUGAAAUGCGUAGAUAUCGGGAGGAACACCAGUGGCGAAGGCGGCUACCUGGGCUGUUUCUUGACGCUGAGGCGCGAAAGCUAGGGGAGCAAACGGG